GGGUCAGUAGGUUGGUCGUGCCACCGGUACGUACUGGUCUCACUGAUUCCUCCUUCCUGAAGAACCGUAAUGCCAUUAAUUUGGUUUUGUGGGGAAACAGGACUGUUACUUUGAAAAAAUUAGAGCGUUUAAAGCAAGCUAACGCUUGAAUACAUUAGCAUGGAAUAAUGAAAUAGGACGAUCGAUCCUAUUUUGUUGGUUUCUAGGAUUGACGUA
rnacentral:rRNA from 1 species